AUGCACGCUGGCGGCGUGCCUCAUCCAUGCAAGUCGAGCGAACAGAUGAGGAGCUUGCUCCUCUGACGUUAGCGGCGGACGGGUGAGUAACACGUGGAUAACCUACCUAUAAGACUGGGAUAACUUCGGGAAACCGGAGCUAAUACCGGAUAAUAUAUUGAACCGCAUGGUUCAAUAGUGAAAGACGGUUUUGCUGUCACUUAUAGAUGGAUCCGCGCCGCAUUAGCUAGUUGGUAAGGUAACGGCUUACCAAGGCAACGAUGCGUAGCCGACCUGAGAGGGUGAUCGGCCACACUGGAACUGAGACACGGUCCAGACUCCUACGGGAGGCAGCAGUAGGGAAUCUUCCGCAAUGGGCGAAAGCUUGACGGAGCAACGCCGCGUGAGUGAUGAAGGUCUUCGGAUCGUAAAACUCUGUUAUUAGGGAAGAACAAAUGUGUAAGUAACUAUGCACGUCUUGACGGUACCUAAUCAGAAAGCCACGGCUAACUACGUG
rnacentral:rRNA from 1 species